rnacentral:rRNA from 1 species
GACGAACGCCGGCGGCGUGCUUAACACAUGCAAGUCGAACGGGCCUUGUCCCCUUUUUUUUGGGGGUGGGGUUAGUGGCGAACGGGUGAGUAACACGUGAGUAACCUGCCCCUCACUUCUGGAUAACCGCUUGAAAGGGUGGCUAAUACGGGGUGUUCUGGCCUGCUCGCAUGGGUGGGUUUGGAAAGAUUCGACCGGUUUUGGUUGUUUUGGUGGGGGAUGGGCUCGCGGCCUAUCAGCUUGUUGGUGGGGUGAUGGCCUGCCAAGGCUUUGACGGGUAGCCGGCCUGAGAGGGUGGGCGGUCACACUGGGACUGAGACACGGCCCAGACUCCUACGGGAGGCAGCAGUGGGGAAUAUUGCACAAUGGGCGCAAGCCUGAUGCAGCGACGCCGCGUGAGGGAUGGAGGCCUUCGGGUUGUGAACCUCUUUCGCCAGUGAAGAAGGUCCUGCUCUUUGUGGUGGGGUUGACGGUAGCUGGGUUAAUGAAGCGCCGGCUAACUACGUG